UAAAAUUAUUUUAUAUAAUAUAUUAGAAAUGAUAUGUUAUUCGUUUUUAAAGGUAUCUAGUUUUUUAAGAAAUAAAUUUAAUUUAGAAAUUUUAUAUUAUUUAAUUUAAUAUAUUAAUUAAAUAAUUAUUUAAUUUUAAUAUUUUAUGGGAUAAGCUAUAUAUAUAAAUUUUUAAAAAUUAUUAAUUAAAUUAAUAAAUAUAAGCUUAUAAAUAGUUAUUAUUAAUAAAAUUGUUAUAAUUUAUUUUUUUAUUAUUAUUAUUUAUUUUAAUUUUAAAUUUUUAUUAAAAUAUUUAUUUUAUUUUUAAAAAUAAAAUAAUAAUGAUAGAAUUAGUAUAUAAAUUUUGUAUAUAUAUAUAAAUAAAUGAUAAGUUUUUAUAAGGAAUUUGGCAAAAAUAAUGUUCGCCUGUUUAACAAAAACAUGUCUUUAUGAUUUUUUUUAUAAAGUCUAGCCUGCCCACUGAAUUAAAUUUAAAUGGCUGCAGUAUUUUGACUGUACAAAGGUAGCAUAAUAAUUAGUCUUUUAAUUGAAGGCUGGUAUGAAUGGUUAGACGAAAUAUUAACUGUUUCAUAAAAAUUUUUAAUUGAAUUUUAUUUUUUAGUUAAAAAGCUAAAAUUUAUUUAAAAGACGAGAAGACCCUAUAAAUCUUUAUAUUUAAAUUAUAAUAAUUUUUUAGAAAUAUUUUGUUAUUAUAAAUUAAUAAAUAUUUUAUUGGGGUGAUAUUAAAAUUUGAUUAACUUUUAUUAUUAAUUUAACAUUAAUUUAUGUAUAAUUGAUCCAAUAUUAUUGAUUAAUAAAAUAAGUUACUUUAGGGAUAACAGCGUAAUUUUAUUGGAGAGUUCUUAUUAAUAAUAAAGAUUGCGACCUCGAUGUUGGAUUAAGAUAUAAUUUUAGGUGUAGUAGCUUAAAUUUUAAGUCUGU
rnacentral:rRNA from 1 species